GAAGAACCUUACCUGGCCUUGACAUUGAUAGAAUCUGCUAGAGAUAGCGGAGUGCCCUUCGGGGAGCUUGAAAACAGGUGCUGCACGGCUGUCGUCAGCUCGUGUCGUGAGAUGUUGGGUUAAGUCCCGCAACGAGCGCAACCCUCGUCCUUAGUUGCCAGCAGGUUAAGCUGGGCACUCUAGGGAGACUGCCUUCGUAAGGAGGAGGAAGGUGAGGACGACGUCAAGUCAUCAUGGCCCUUAUGGCCAGGGCUACACACGUGCUACAAUGGGGCGUACAGAGAGUUGCAAUACCGCGAGGUGGAGCCAAUCUCACAAAGCGUCUCUCAGUUCGGAUUGAAGUCUGCAACUCGACUUCAUGAAGCUGGAAUCACUAGUA
rnacentral:rRNA from 1 species